rnacentral:ncRNA from 1 species
ACACAUGCAUCAACUAUUUACAUCUAUCCUUGUUCAUCCAAGCAUGUCACUGGGUGUUUUUUUUCUUACGAUAGAGAGCAUAGUUUUCAUACUACUCCCCGUAGUAUAUAUGACUUUAGCAUUCCCGUAUAACAGUUUACGGGGUGCUUUUU